rnacentral:tRNA from 3 species
GGGUGAUUAGCUCAGUUGGUAGAGCGCUGCCCUUACAAGGCAGAUGUCAGGAGUUCAAGUCUCUUAUCACCCACCA